rnacentral:tRNA from 1 species
GGGCAAUUAGCUCAGUUGGUUUAGAGCACUAGCUCGACAAGCUAGGGGUCGCAGGUUCGAAUCCUGCAUUGCCCACAA